UACGUAGGGUGCAAGCGUUGUCCGGAAUUAUUGGGCGUAAAGAGCUCGUAGGCGGUCAGUCGCGUCUGCUGUGAAAACUCGGGGCUUAACUCCGGGCCUGCAGUGGGUACGGGCUGACUAGAGUGCGGUAGGGGAGACUGGAAUUCCUGGUGUAGCGGUGAAAUGCGCAGAUAUCAGGAGGAACACCGGUGGCGAAGGCGGGUCUCUGGACAGUUCCUGACGCUGAGGCGCGAAGGCCAGGGGAGCAAACGGG
rnacentral:rRNA from 1 species